rnacentral:rRNA from 1 species
AUUGAACGCUGGCGGCAGGCCUAACACAUGCAAGUCGAGCGGAUGAAGGGAGCUUGCUCCUGGAUUCAGCGGCGGACGGGUGAGUAAUGCCUAGGAAUCUGCCUGGUAGUGGGGGAUAGCGUCCGGAAACGGGCGCUAAUACCGCAUACGUCCUGAGGGAGAAAGUGGGGGAUCUUCGGACCUCACGCUAUCAGAUGAGCCUAGGUCGGAUUAGCUAGUUGGUGGGGUAAAGGCCUACCAAGGCGACGAUCCGUAACUGGUAUGAGAGGAUGAUCAGUCACACUGGAACUGAGACACGGUCCAGACUCCUACGGGAGGCAGCAGUGGGGAAUAUUGGACAAUGGGCGAAAGCCUGAUCCAGCCAUGCCGCGUGUGUGAAGAAGGUCUUCGGAUUGUAAAGCACUUUAAGUUGGGAGGAAGGGCAGUAAGUUAAUACCUUGCUGUUUUGACGUUACCAACAGAAUAAGCACCGGCUAACUUCGUG